rnacentral:tRNA from 1 species
GCCUGUAUAGUGUAGUGGCCAAUCACAUCGCCCUUUCGCGGCGGGGACCCGGGUUCGACUCCCGGUACGGGCA